CGACCGCUGGCGGCGUGCCUAAUACAUGCAAGUAGAACGCUGAAGGAGGAGCUUGCUUCUCUGGAUGAGUUGCGAACGGGUGAGUAACGCGUAGGUAACCUGCCUGGUAGCGGGGGAUAACUAUUGGAAACGAUAGCUAAUACCGCCUAAUAGCAGUUGUUGCAUGACAACUGUUUGAAAGGUGCAAUUGCACCACUACCAGAUGGACUUGCGUUGUAAUAGCUAGUUGGUGGGGUAACGGCCCACCAAGGCGAAGAUACAUAGCCUACCUGAGCGGGGGGGCGGCCACACUGGGAAUGAAGCACGGCCCAAAACCCUACGGGGGGCAGCAAGAGGGAAACUUCGGCAAAUGGCGGAAGGCUGACCGAGCAACGGCGCGUUGGUGAAGAAGGUUUUCGGAUCGGAAAGCUCUGUUGUAAGAGAAGAACGAGUGUGGGAGUGGAAAGUUCACACUGUGACGGUACCUAACCAGAAAGCGACGGCUAACUACGUG
rnacentral:rRNA from 1 species